GUGCUCCCCCUUCCUUGCACCAUAGCCAGGGCUACAGGAUCUCAGAAAAAGCUUUCCAUGGAUGCUUUUAGCUGCUACUUCUCCUGAAUAGGUUCCUGUGCUGGAACUGAAAACAGGGAUCUCUCCGCUUUGUCCUUUUAGUGACCCUUACUGCUAGCACCCUGGAAGCAUGAAGGAAGAAGCUGUUUGAGUCAAACGGAAAAAAAGACAAAUGGCAGGCCACGACGAGGAAAAAAAUAUAUUAAGAGAAGGGGUCUCCUGAGAUCGGGAUAGCACAAGAGGUAAAAAGCCAAGUCUAGAGAUUAGAGACUUACUGGCCAAGAACAUUUCACCUCAUAUUAGCAUGUUUAUUUGCUAGCAUUGUGUAAUCUACAAUAUGCAAAGCAUGAGUUACGGAAGACUGGGUUAUUGUUGGCUGGAAGAGAUGUUACCAGCAUCUGUGGGAAGCAGCAGCGUCUCCUCUGCUAGGUUGUGAGGGCAGGGACAGGGGGAGUGUGUGUGGGUGAGACUGACUGCAAAACCACGAGGGAAGCAUGGGAAGUUUGUGGGAGAUUGGGAUACGCUGAGAGAAGGAAGGGGCUGGGAACACAGUGGAGAAAGAAAAGAAGGAAAAUGGGAACUGAAAAACGUAGUGAAAUAGAUUAGUUAAGGAGCAGCAGUAAACAGAGGCAGGACAGAAUCGUGGAAGAAACUUGACUGGAACCAGUGCGUGUCUGGUGUGUCAGCAUCCUGGGCGCAUCCCCUCCCAGGGGUUUGGCUGCCCAGGUUAGGGCCCCCUUAGCAAUAGUGUUGCUGGUAACCUUGAAAGAGCAAGCCAGGAGAAACCCCAGUGAGGGCCUGCUGCUCCAGGAGCUGUUUUUAAGUGGAGGCUGCAGCCUUUGUUCCCAGCAGGAACACCAGAACAAGGAACAUUGCCUGGCCCUGCUGCUCUGGAGCCUGGUUGGUGACGCAUUUGACCUCAGUCCUCAUCCCAUGGGCUUGUGUGGACCUUUUCUUGUGGCUUCACAUCCCAGCAGCACAAACUUACAGGGUUGCUCCCUCAGCUUGGAAAGGCAUUUAACAGGUAUGCAAAGAAGUUGACAGAUAACAGCCAGAGAUAAAAAUCAUGGAGUGAAAAGAGACAAAGAUGUUCUCCUUGUCCAAAGCUGAGCUAGGAAGCAGAGGAUCAGCUUGCUGCGGGAACAGGAAGAUCUUGGGACUUUUUCCAGCAGAUCCUGGAGUAUAAAUAACAAAGGCACGGCCGAGUCUCCAAAUAAAGCGAACAAAUCAGUUAGCCA
rnacentral:lncRNA from 1 species